GUGGAAGUCGCGAUCCUGAUGUCGGUCCUGGCCCAACCCAGUGCCACGCGACAUACUCGGCCUGAAAGAGGUCAGUUAGAAAGUUACUACAUAAGAAACUGCUUCAUAAAUGAAGUCGGGGAGUUCGAAGAAAGUCAAUAUCAUAAUAUUACUCUCAUCGUACUUUUAAAAACUUAAAUACUAAGAGAUGCCUAGAUUCCUAGAUUCCAAAGUUUGCUUAGAUCUUAUACUCUGCGACCACGCCAAAAGUAAAGCGUUACCAGUAUCAACUGAAUCAAACCUUUUUUAUGCUGGUCAGUGUAAGUAAUGGCGCGAUGGGACAGGUGGUGCAGAAAAAGAAGGCACAAUAAGAUUUGACAAAACCGGUUUGGCUGACAUUGUGAAAAGUUCUGCACAUAAUUCGCGUUUGUUUACAUCUUGUCAACGAUUGUCACAUUGCAAUAAACAAAUGGGGAAUUAAA